UACGUAGGGUGCAAGCGUUGUCCGGAAUUAUUGGGCGUAAAGAGCUCGUAGGCGGUUUGUCGCGUCUGCUGUGAAAACUCAGGGCUUAACCCUGAGCCUGCAGUGGGUACGGGCAGACUAGAGUGUGGUAGGGGAGAUCGGAAUUCCUGGUGUAGCGGUGGAAUGCGCAGAUAUCAGGAGGAACACCGGUGGCGAAGGCGGAUAUCUGGGCCAUAACUGACGCUGAGGAGCGAAAGCAUGGGGAGCGAACAGG
rnacentral:rRNA from 1 species